rnacentral:rRNA from 1 species
UGGGGAAUAUUGGACACUGGGGGGAACCCUGAUCCAGCCAUGUCGCGUGUGUGAAGAAGGCCUUAUGGUUGUAAAGCACUUUAAGCGAGGAGGAGGGUACUGGUAUUAAUACUACCAGCUACUGGACGUUACUCGCAGAAUAAGCACCGGCUAACUCUGUGCCAGCAGCCGCGGUAAUACAGAGGGUGCGAGCGUUAAUCGGAUUUACUGGGCGUAAAGCGUGCGUAGGCGGCUAAUUGAGUCGGAUGUGAAAUCCCCGAGCUUAACUUGGGAAUUGCAUUCGAUACUGGUUAGCUAGAGUGUGGGAGAGGAUGGUAGAAUUCCAGGUGUAGCGGUGAAAUGCGUAGAGAUCUGGCGGAAUACCGAUGGCGAAGGCAGCCAUCUGGCCUAACACUGACGCUGAGGUACGAAAGCAUGGGGAGCAAACAGG